rnacentral:rRNA from 1 species
UACGUAGGGUCCGAGCGUUGCUCGGAAUCACUGGGCGUAAAGCGCACGUAGGCGGCUUCUUAAGUCAGGGGUGAAAGCCUGGAGCUCAACUCCAGAACUGCCUUUGAUACUGAGAAGCUUGAGUCCGGGAGAGGUGAGUGGAACUGCGAGUGUAGAGGUGAAAUUCGUAGAUAUUCGCAAGAACACCAGUGGCGAAGGCGGCGUUCUGGACUGCAACUGACACUGAGGAACGAAAGCCAGGGGAGCAAACGGG